rnacentral:rRNA from 1 species
CGAACGUUGGCGGCAAGCUUAACACAUGCAAGUCGAACGAACCAAAUGAUAGCUUGCUACUUUUUGGUGAGUGGCAGACGGGUGAGUAGCGCGUAGGAAUCUGCCCAGUAGUACGGAAUAGUCAUUGGAAACGAUGAGUAAAACCGUAUACGCCCUAUGGUUUUCUAUAGGGGAAAAAUUUAUUGCUAUUGGAUGAGCCUGCGUUGGAUUAGCUAGUUGGUAGGGUAAAGGCCUACCAAGGCGAAGAUCUAUAGCUGAUCUGAGAGGAUGAUCAGCCACACUGGGACUGAGAUACGGCCCAGACUCCUACGGGAGGCAGCAGUGGGGAAUAUUGGACAAUGGGCGCAAGCCUGAUCCAGCUAUGCCGCGUGAGUGAAGAAGGCCUUCGGGUUGUAAAACUCUUUCAGUGGGGAAGAUUGUGACGGUACCCACAGAAGAAGUCCCGGCUAACUCCGUGCCAGCAGCCGCGGUAAU